rnacentral:lncRNA from 1 species
UGUAACCUAGUGCAGAAACACUGUGGUAAUCGCGCUGGGUGGGUUAGGGUCUUGUUUUCUGUAAAAUGGCCGAAUGAAUUAAUUUUUCCUACGGUACUUUCACACUCCUGGCCUGAUUCCUUCCAACAACCCCUCAAAGCAGGUACGGAUCAUUUCCAUUUUUUGAAAAAGAAACACUGAGGCUAUGCAAGGCCUAUGAAAUGUUGCUUAUCUUCAUCCAGCCAGAGAUCAUGGGCUGAGUUGAAACAGACCAAGGGAUUGUCAAGAACCAGGGAUUGAACUCAGGACCUUGUGCUUGCCAGGCAGGCACUGGCACCACUGAGCUAAACCUCUGGCCCAAGUUCUACUGCUUUCUGCCUCUCUUGCCAUGGAUGUUUUUCUUUUGCGAUGCCCCUCUACCAUGCAACCCUGCCUUGGAGCCAGCCAACUGUGGACUGAAACCUCUACAGUGAGCCAAAAUAGAUGUUUUCUUCUUCAAUUUGAUUUCAGCUUGUGAAUUUGAUGAAUUCUGGAGGUGGGUUGCACAAAAUGUAAAUGUAUUUAAUACUGCUGAAUUGAACAUUAAAAGGAGUUGAGAUGGUAAAUGUUACAUCUAUUUUACACCAGUUCUUUUUUUGAGACAGGGUCUCACUAUCAUAUUUCAGGGUGACCCUGAACUCUCUAUGUAGUCCAGGC